AGGCUUUUAAUUUUACGGAAUGAAUAACAAGUUUUGCAUCUCUAUAGACAAGAUAAGGAUCCUGCAGCUCAGAGUCACCUCUUGUUAUUCUUUAAUGGUAGCGUCUGGACACACUUAGUUCAGUUCUUCUUCUACUAUUCCAAAUGGAUGGACCACAAGAAGAAAUUCCUGGAAAUCGAAUUAUUGAUAGACCACAUGAACUCUACUUUCGGGUGACAUAUGUAAAAAAUAAAACCCAAUACAUCUGAUUUGGGAUUCAUUUUCACAUGGAACAUAUUUUGAUUAAGGGACUGUGGAGCAAAAUGAAUCAUGAAGAAAUUUCGUGAUUCUGGAGUGUUGCACAUUUUCAGUAGCUCUUAGUUCUCUUCCUCAAUAAUUUCCCUUUCCCCAGAUAAUGCAUAUUAUUUAUAAAUACCUACCAGCAAAGUCAGUCUUAAUAAAUUUAUUACAUAUUCAUUACA
rnacentral:lncRNA from 1 species